GGUUAAGCGACUAAGCGUACACGGUGGAUGCCCUGGCAGUCAGAGGCGAUGAAGGGCGUGCUAAUCUGCGAUAAGCGCCGGUAAGGUGAUAUGAACCGUUAUAACCGGCGAUACCCGAAUGGGGAAACCCAGUGUGAUUCGUCACACUAUCAUUAACUGAAUCCAUAGGUUAAUGAGGCGAACCGGGGGAACUGAAACAUCUAAGUACCCCGAGGAAAAGAAAUCAACCGAGAUUCCCCCAGUAGCGGCGAGCGAACGGGGAGGAGCCCAGAGCCUGAAUCAGCAUGUGUGUUAGUGGAAGCGUCUGGAAAGGCGCGCGAUACAGGGUGACAGCCCCGUACACAAAAGCGCAUAUGCUGUGAGCUCGAUGAGUAGGGCGGGACACGUGGUAUCCUGUCUGAAUAUGGGGGGACCAUCCUCCAAGGCUAAAUACUCCUGACUGACCGAUAGUGAACCAGUACCGUGAGGGAAAGGCGAAAAGAACCCCGGCGAGGGGAGUGAAAAAGAACCUGAAACCGUGUACGUACAAGCAGUGGGAGCCCCACCACUAAGCCAGUGGUGAACUCCACAUACGCAUCCUUUGCUGAGGAGACGGUUAACGGAGCGAAAGCGACGUUCAACCUCAAAAGAAGCAGAGGGGGCUUAGUGGUGGGGUGACUGCGUACCUUUUGUAUAAUGGGUCAGCGACUUAUAUUCUGUAGCAAGGUUAACUGUAUAGGGGAGCCGGAGGGAAACCGAGUCUUAACCGGGCGUUAAGUUGCAGGGUAUAGACCCGAAACCCGGUGAUCUAGCCAUGGGCAGGUUGAAGGUUGGGUAACACUAACUGGAGGACCGAACCGACUAAUGUUGAAAAAUUAGCGGAUGACCUGUGGCUGGGGGUGAAAGGCCAAUCAAACCGGGAGAUAGCUGGUUCUCCCCGAAAGCUAUUUAGGUAGCGCCUCGUGAAUUCAUCUCCGGGGGUAGAGCACUGUUUCGGCUAGGGGGCCAUCCCGGCUUACCAACCCGAUGCAAACUGCGAAUACCGGAGAAUGUUAUCACGGGAGACACACGGCGGGUGCUAAUGUCCGUCGUGAAGAGGGAAACAACCCAGACCG
rnacentral:rRNA from 1 species